GUUGUGAACUUCUGAAACGAAAGUUCUACUUCCGCAAUUUCCAGAGGGCGGUCUUACGAGUAACCAAUCAGAAGCCAGAAAAAGAAUACACACACGGAUAUUUAUUAUUUUAAAGUGAUUUUUUUUGUUUAUUGCUUUAGCGUUCUAAAUGUAUGAGAUGUAUGAGUAAUAGGGGAAAUAGAGCGGCAAAACAAUUGGCGAGGGAGCGAAAUGUGUGUGGAAGAGGAGGAGAGAGAGAAGAGCAUAUUUCUCACCUCGGUGCGGCUUUGCUGGCUGUGCUCGCUCAGACUCUCCAAGGAAGCUGCGAUGGAGACACGAUGAAAUGGACCGGGUUGACUCGGAGGACAGUGGUUGGAAUGCCGUUGUCGUUCCGGGACGUUUCUACAGCGGCGAAUGUGCUUUUUGGGAAGUCAGAAAAUGUUUCCUAUUUCAAAACGGUCGGUGGAUUCGGAGCAGUAUUACUACACGGGUAACUUCCAGCCUGUUCUCUUUUUUUUUUCUUUUUCCUCGUGGUUUUCUUAACAAAAUACGACGCUGAUAUAAGAUAUUAUCGGCUGUGUGUUUCGCUGUUAGUGGUGGGGUAGUUUGUUAGAAAAAAAGAGCAAAACAAAACAAAAAAUUUUUUCAUUCAUUGGUAGACAAUAUGACACGAUAUUUACAUCGAAACGUUGUGUGUCGGACGCCAGUGCGCAUGCGCGGUGGUGGACGGCGUUAGCUCGCCUGCCAGCCAGCCGUCCUGCGAUGUAGGCGCGCAAGUGGAGGAGAAGGAGGCAAACACAUUGCAGCGUGGACAUGACGACAAAGUGUCAACAGCGCGGCGUGAAGAGAAUUCCACUCAGCCGGCCAUAAAAGUGUCAAAGCAUGUCCGGGACAGCGGAUGCAGACGGCGUGGAGGGAGCAGUCUCCAAAGUGCAAGUGAAGAGGGAGAUCAAGACCAUCGUGGAGAAUUUGGAAACCAUCCUUGGGGACCUCAAGGAUGUGGCCAAGGAGCUCAAAGAGGUCGUCCACGACAUCGACACGCUGACGUGCGACCUGCAGCUAGAGGAGGACGGCCUGACGGACAGCUCCAAGACAGAUACCCUCAACUCUAGCUCCAGUUCUACCGCCACCACCACCACCACAGCAUCCAGCCUGGAGAAGAUUAAGCUUUUCACAGACGACUGCCUCUUCAAACCCGCCCCGAUGCCUGCCAUCAAUUCCGGGGUUCUGACCGUUCACAAGAAGGCACACCCACCCUUGCCGCCACCCAGACUUACAUCUGUGAGAGUCGAGGAUCACAACGGGAGGAGUCUGCCUCACCCCACGUUAAUGUUGUCAGGGAAUCUAUCCAAAGCUAACGGAUCGCUACUGAAGAACGGUGGUGUUUUCCCAUUGAAGCCAAACCGGGACUUAUUCUCCCCUACAUCAUGUUUUAUCACUAAUGACGGCGGCAUACCGGAAUCGGGCCUGGUGCCCACACUUCCCAGACCCAUGCCUCUGCUCCGCCAUGAACAAAACAAAUGCCCCAAGGCCCGCAGCAGGGAGCCCCGUGAGAGGGUGCGUUUCAGCGAAAAGGUCCAGUACCACGGCUAUUGUCCGGACUGUGACCUCCAGUACGACGUAGAUGACUCAGAGCUGCACUUGCAGGCCGAGCUGAACGACAUGAGGCUCAGCCCUGUGCACUGCUGCUCGUCUUCCUCCUCCCCUCUUCCUCAUGAACUGCAGAAUGGCGGCUUCUCUGUCUGCCACAGUUAUCCGCCGAAGGCAAACACACCUUCUCCUCCUCCUCUGCCUUGUGUACCUCCUCACUCGGCUUCCCUCAAACCUCAGAAAACCAUCCUGCGUAAAUCGACCACGACCACAGUUUGACGACAAGCCCCCCAUGUUUUAUAAAACUUGAACACACCUGAAUCAUCCAUAGUGUUUUCUACUUAGCCAGCGCCCUCCUCUCCAGUCCAGUUUUUCGGAUUAUUUAUACAGAGAGAGGCCAUACAAUGGGAAACAAAAGGAGGCAGAGUGGCAUCCCCAUGGGCUCCGAGAUAUAGUCGACAAAUUUUCACAAAGCGGUCCCCUCAGAGACCCUUCAGAUACACCUGCAAGCAGGAGGCUUGUUUGGGCGGCGGCGAAGGAGCCGAGCAUCAAUCUUAUCUUUGAAAGCUGGCGACCAACAGGAGAUAAAUCAAGGCUUUGAAUUCGGAGCGUUUAAAGGAAAAAAAAAAAAAAAGGCUUCCUGGCACAGUGAAAUGAGGGAGGACAUUCUGAUGUAGUCCUCACAAAGUGACAAGAACCCUAUUAAUUUUGAGUUGAACUGAGUUAUUAAGAUCCUUACUGAUUUAAAAUGAUGAAAAAAAGCCAUAUUGGUUUAUUGUUAAAGUUAAGUCACAAUAUUUAACCUGUCUUUAAAUGGCAACUUGUGGCGCCCUCUAUGGGAUUGUUCUCAAAAUGUUAUAGGUUAAAUAUCAUGUACCAGUAGUAAGAUUAUUUAUUUACUACAAACCUGAAUGCUAUUGAUUUUGAAUGGGGGGGGGACUAAGUUGAAAUUGCCAUAAACAGGGUGAGUGACUUUUUGGACAGGAUAGAUGAGGUCAAAGGUCAAAUGAAUUAGGCUACAUGUUAAGUCUCUUUUUAAAGACAAGAACGCUAUACAUUUGAAUGCCAGUCUGGACAAGUAAUUGAGGUCAAAGGUCAGCUCAGUAUAAGGAUUAUUUCCCUAAAACAAAAAAGAUUGUUAUUUUUUAUAUGAUGAAAAACACAAAAAACAAAGCUAAAGUUAUUUCUUACGUAUAUGCCAUAAACGAUGUGUGUCCCUCUUUGCCAAAACAAGAACCCAAAUCAUUUUGGAUCCUUUUCCUCGCAAGAACAGGAUAGUUGAGGUCAAAGGUCAGAUGAAGAUAUUAGCCCUUUAAUUUAAUAUAAAGGGUUAAUGUCUCAAACACAAAGUCAGCUGGGAUAGGCUUGCCCGUGACCAUAAUGAGGAUAAUCAGUAUGGACAAUAGGUGAAUUUAUUAAAUAACUUAUUAAUUAAUGAAUAACUUAGAAAUAGGUUCAGAGUCGUACAGUUGUAGGAUUAGAUCUCAUUCACUGGCAAGAACAAUAUUGAUUUUGGAUGAUCAUUUUCAUUCACACAUUUAAAGUAUUUUCGGAGUAUAAGUCACACCGGAGUAUAAAUCGCACCGGCCGAAAAUGCAUAAUAAAGAAGGGAAAAAACAUAUAUAAGUCGCACUGGAGUAUAAGUCGCAUUUUUUGGGGAAAUGUAUUUGAUAAAACCCAACACCAAGAAUAGACAUUUGAAAGGCAAUUUAAAAUAAAUAAAGAAUAGUGAAAACAGGCUGAAUAAGUGUACGUUAUAUGAGGCAUAAAUAACCAACUGGUAUGUUAACGUAACAUAUUAUGGUAAGAGUCAUUCAAAUAACUAUAACAUAUAGAACAUGCUAUACGUUUACCAAACAAUCUGUCACUCCUAAUCGCUAAAUCCCAUGAAAUCUUAUACGUCUAGUCUCUUACGUGAAUGAGCUAAGUAAUGUUAUUUGAUAUUUUACGGUAAUGGGUUAAUAAUUUCACACAUAAGUCGCUCCUGAGUAUAAGUCGCACCCCCGGCCGGCCAAACUAUGAAAAAAACUGCGACUUAUAAUUCGAAAAAUACGGUAGGUGUAAUUGCUGUUUGUUUAAUAUAUAAAUGUAUUAUAUAAAUGUUAUGUACAGGGUGAUUAAAAAAGAAUACGUUAAAAUCAUCAUGUAUUUAUUCAGUUCUAAAGCAUUGCAAUAGACUGAAUCAAUGGUCAUUUGAUACAGGAGUUUUAUUGUGUUACGAACUCACCAUUGUGGUCAUGCAAUCCUUUCGGCCCCGUUCAAUUGCAGGAAGACUACCUGUUUAUUUACCCUCAAAAUGGCGACUCCUCAACAGACGGCGUUGUGUGAGCUUAAGUUUUGCAGAAACAAAUUCCGUUGUCCCGGUGCAGCGUGCUUUUAGAACAGAAUUUGGUACAUUUAGUAAAAAAUUGUAAAGCGUGAAAUAAAUAUUCAAAGUGAUGUAAAACACAUGUGCUCAAGCUAGGUUUUCUAUUGUUUUUAAUUUUUGAAAUAUCGAGAUAAUUUUGGCGUAUUGUUUUUGAAUCACCCUGUAUUAACAUUACCUUAUUACAUUGAAUGAGGAGAAGGUGUGUCCAA